CCGUCUGGCGUCCUAGGUGGGGCGCCGCGGGACCUUUCUUCUGUCUGUGGCGGUGGGAUCCCGUGGCCGUGUUUUCCUAGUGGCCCAGCC
rfam:Nomascus leucogenys chromosome 7b, whole genome shotgun sequence.